rnacentral:rRNA from 1 species
UUGACCUCGGAUCAGGUAGGGAUACCCGCUGAACUUAAGCAUAUCAAUAAGCGGAGGAAAAGAAACCAACAGGGAUUGCCCCAGUAACGGCGAGUGAAGCGGCAAGAGCUCAAAUUUGAAAGCUGGCUCCUUCGGGGUCCGCAUUGUAAUUUGCAGAGGAUGCUUCGGGAGCGGUCCCCAUCUAAGUGCCCUGGAACGGGACGUCAUAGAGGGUGAGAAUCCCGUAUGGGAUGGGGUGUCCGCGCCCGUGUGAAGCUCCUUCGACGAGUCGAGUUGUUUGGGAAUGCAGCUCUAAAUGGGUGGUAAAUUUCAUCUAAAGCUAAAUAUUGGCCGGAGACCGAUAGCGCACAAGUAGAGUGAUCGAAAGAUGAAAAGCACUUUGAAAAGAGAGUUAAAAAGCACGUGAAAUUGUUGAAAGGGAAGCGCUUGCGACCAGACUCGCUCGCGGGGUUCAGCCGGCAUUCGUGCCGGUGUACUUCCCCGCGGGCGGGCCAGCGUCGGUUUGGGCGGUCGGUCAAAGGCCCUCGGAAGGUAACGCCCCUCGGGGCGUCUUAUAGCCGAGGGUGCAAUGCGACCUGCCCGGACCGAGGAACGCGCUUCGGCUCGGACGCUGGCAUAAUGGUCGUAAACGACC